CCUACGGGUGGCAGCAGUGGGGAAUAUUGCACAAUGGGGGAAACCCUGAUGCAGCGACGCCGCGUGAGUGAUGAAGUAUUUCGGUAUGUAAAGCUCUAUCAGCAGGGAAGAAAAUGACGGUACCUGACUAAGAAGCCCCGGCUAACUACGUGCCAGCAGCCGCGGUAAUACGUAGGGGGCAAUCGUUAUCCGGAUUUACUGGGUGUAAAGGGAGCGUAGACGGGGGAAAAAGUCAGAAGUGAAAUCCCGGGGCUCAACCCUGGGAGUGAUUUUGAAACGGUUUGGCUUGAGUGCAGUAGAGGUAAGCGGAAUUCCUAGUGUAGCGGUGAAAUGCGUAGAUAUUACGAGGAACUCCGGUGGCGAAGGCGGCUUACUAAACUGUAACUGACAUUGAUGCUCGAAAGUGUGGGGAGCAAACAGGAUUAGAUACCCUUGUAGUC
rnacentral:rRNA from 1 species